UACGGGGGGAGCAAGCGUUGUUCGGAUUUACUGGGCGUAAAGGGCGCGUAGGCGGCCACCGCAAGUCGGUUGUGAAAUCUCUGGGCUUAACCCAGAAAGGUCAACCGAUACUGCGGGGCUAGAGUGCAGAAGGGGCAACUGGAAUUCUCGGUGUAGCGGUGAAAUGCGUAGAUAUCGAGAGGAACCCCUGCGGCGAAGGCGGGUUGCUGGGCUGACACUGACGCUGAAGCGCGAAAGCUAGGGGAGCGAACGGG
rnacentral:rRNA from 1 species